rnacentral:rRNA from 1 species
UUUAUAGUUAAUUUAAUUAAGAUUAUUUAUUAAAAAAAAAUUAAAAUUAAAUUAUUUAUUUUGUUGGGGUGACAGAAAAAUAUAUAUAACUUUUUUUAAAUUUAAACAUUUAUAAGUGAUUAAAUGAUCCAAUAUUAUUGAUUAUAAGAAAAAAUUACCUUAGGGAUGACAGCGUAGAUCGGAGGAGCACACGUCUG